rnacentral:rRNA from 1 species
CGGACGGGUGAGGAAUACAUCGGAAUCUACUCUGUCGUGGGGGAUAACGUAGGGAAACUUACGCUAAUACCGCAUACGACCUACGGGUGAAAGCAGGGGAUCUUCGGACCUUGCGCGAUUGAAUGAGCCGAUGUCGGAUUAGCUAGUUGGCGGGGUAAAGGCCCACCAAGGCGACGAUCCGUAGCUGGUCUGAGAGGAUGAUCAGCCACACUGGAACUGAGACACGGUCCAGACUCCUACGGGAGGCAGCAGCU